rnacentral:rRNA from 1 species
GCCUAAAGCGUCCGUAGCCGGCUAUGUUAGUUCUCGGUUAAAUCCAUGUGCUCAACACAUGGGCUGCCGAGAAUACUGUAUAGCUAGGGAGUGGGAGAGGUAGACGGUACUCGGUAGGAAGGGGUAAAAUCCUUUGAUCUAUCGAUGACCACCAGUGGCGAAGGCGGUCUACCAGAACACGUCCGACGGUGAGGGAUGAAAGCUGGGGGAGCAAACCGGAUUAGAUACCCGGGUAGUCCCAGCUGUAAACUAUGCAAACUCAGUGAUGCAUUGGCUUGUGGCCAAUGCAGUGCCGCAGAGAAGUCGUUAAGUUUGCCGCCUGGGAAGUACGUACGCAAGUAUGAAACUUAAAGGAAUUGGCGGGGGAGCACCACAAGGGGUGAAGCCUGCGGUUCAAUUGGAGUCAACGCCAGAAAUCUUACCCGGAGAGACAGCAGAAUGAAGGUCAAGUUGAAGCCUUUACCAGACAAGCUGAGAAGUGGUGCAUGGCCGUCGCCAGCUCGUGCCGUGAGGUGUCCUGUUAAGUCAGGUAACGAGCGAGAUCCUUGCCUCUAGUUGCUACCAUUACUCUCAGGAGUAGUGGGGCGAAUUAGCGGGACUGCCGUAGUUAAUACGGAGGAAGGAGAGGGCCACGGCAGGUCAGUAUGCCCCGAA